rnacentral:rRNA from 1 species
CCUACGGGGGACAGCAGUGAGGAAUAUUGGUCAAUGGGCGGAAGCCUGAACCAGCCAAGUAGCGUGCAGGAUGACGGCCCUACGGGUUGUAAACUGCUUUUAUACGGGAAUAACGCGCCUUACGUGUAGGGCUUUGCAUGUACCGUAUGAAUAAGGACCGGCUAAUUCCGUGCCAGUAGCCGCGGUCAUACGGUAGGUCCGGGCGUUAUCCGGAUUUAUUUGGUUUAAAGGGAGCGUAGGCCGCAUGUCAAGCGUGCUGUGAAAUGUCCGGGCUCAACCCGGGCCUUGCAGCGCGAACUGGCGUGCUUGAGUCCGCGGAAGGCAGGCGGAAUUCGUCGUGUAGCGGUGAAAUGCUUAGAUAUGACGAAGAACACCGAUUGCGAAGGCAGCUUGCUGCAGCGGAACUGACGCUGAUGCUCGAAAGCGCGGGUAUCGAACAGGAUUAGAUACCCCAGUAGUC